GUGCCCGUAACUCAGUGGUAGAGUGUGAGAUUGCAAUAGACCUGUAAUGGAUCCGAUACAAUCUUGAAGCCGCGUGUUCGAACCACGCCGGGCACU